AUGACCUUGAGAUAAUAGUAUAAAUUUUUUGAGUAUUUUUCUCUUUCGAAGAAAAGGUUUUUAUCUUA
rnacentral:tRNA from 1 species